rnacentral:tRNA from 1 species
CGGGCUGUAGCGAAGUUGGUAUCGCGCACGGUUCGGGACCGUGAGGUCGCGGGUUCAAGUCCCGCCAGCCCGACCA